CCAGUGAAGAGCUUCUGCCCCGCUUUGAACUGCCAGGGGCCGCUUGGAUCCAAGCUCCGGACUAAGCUGGCAGCUCUCCCCCUCCCCGCCUCCCCGUUUCCCGCCCGCCUCCUUUUCCAAAUACACACCAGCGCCUGCGUGCACUCGCCCUAUAAAUAAGAAAAGGCAAGGGCAACGGGCGAGCAGUGUGAUUGCUGUCGGGCUGGGCAGGCAGAGUUGGGCAGGCAGAAGAGCCGCGCGCGCGCUGCCCAGCUAUCCUCCCAACCACAGCAUGGCUUGCUUGGACCGAUGCCGUUGCUGCGCGGACAACAGGCGUCAGAGCAGCAUCCUUUAUAGCAUCUUAAAGAGCGAGGAGCAGAAGAGCGAGACCCAGGAGCAGGAGCAGGAACAGCAGCAACAUCAACAUCAACAUCAACAGCAGCAGCCUCUGGAGCGGGCGCAGAGGCAGGGGCAGGGGCAGGGCUGCUCCUGCGGCUCCCAGCGCAGGGUGGCCCUGAAAAGCCCGCAGGUGGCCUGCAAGGCGGCCUCUGCCGUGCUGGUGAAGACGCUGCGCUUUGUGAAGAAUGUGCCCUGCUUCCAGGAGCUGCCCCUGGACGAACAGCUGGUGCUAGUCCGAAGCUGCUGGGCGCCGCUGCUAGUGCUUGGGCUGGCCCAGGACCGAGUGCACUUCGAGACCGUGGAGACCUCGGAGCCCAGCAUGCUUCAAAGAAUACUGACCACCAGGCGGCGGGACCCCGACGACCUGGAGCUGUCUUCGUCGCCUCCCGCCCUUCCCGAGCCUUUGGCCCUGACCGACCCCUUGCAGCCACCCUCUGCCGCCCAAGUCCAGGCUAUCAAAGGUUUUCUGACCAAAUGCUGGAGCCUGGACAUCAGCACCAAGGAGUACGCCUAUCUCAAGGGGACUGUGCUCUUCAACCCAGACCUCCCAGGACUGCACUGUGUUCAGUACAUCCAGGGACUUCAGAGAGAAGCCCAGCAAGCUUUAAACGAACACAUCAGGAUGCUUCACAGAGGGCACCAGGCCAGAUUUGCCAAGCUCAAUGUUGCUCUUUCCCUGCUGAGAUCCAUUAAUGCUAAUGUCAUUGCUGAACUCUUCUUUAGACCCAUCAUUGUAUUGGAAAACCGAGCUGGCAGCAGAUGACGUGGUCAAGGGGUACCAUUAUCCACAUGUGUAAAUAAAGACUUGAGCCAAGGAGAAGCAUGUUGGCAUAUAAAGGAAAGGAGGUGAUGCUUCAUCACUGGCCCUCAGAAGUGAUCUCAUGACUGGUUCUUGGUGAGUAAAUGCAAAAUAAUUCACAGAUCCCUAAAGCUGUGUCUAUAAUGCUCAUUCAUAAAUCCACUCAAGAAAGAGUAUAUUAGGGGGAGCUAGGUGGCACAGUGAAUAGAGCUCUGGCCUUGGAGCCAGGAGGACCUGAGUUCA